rnacentral:rRNA from 1 species
GACGAACGCUGGCGGCGUGCUUAACACAUGCAAGUCGAACGAUGAACCCGGAGCUUGCUCUGGGGGAUUAGUGGCGAACGGGUGAUUAACACGUGAGUAACCUGCCCUGGACUCUGGGAUAAGCGUUGGAAACGACGUCUAAUACCGGAUAGGACCUUGGAUCGCAUGAUCUGGGGUGGAAAGUUUUUUCGGUCUGGGAUGGACUCGUGGCCUAUCAGCUUGUUGGUGAGGUAAUGGCUCACCAAGGCGUCGACGGGUAGCCGGCCUGGGAGGGUGCCCGGACACACUGGGACUGAGAACCGGCCCAGACUCCUACGGGAGGCAGAAGUGGGGAAUAUUGCACAAUGGGCGAAAGCCUGAUGAAGCAACGCCGCGUGCGGGAUGACGGCCUUCGGGUUGUAAACCGCUUUUAGUAGGGAAGAAGGGCUUCGGCUUGACGGUACCUGCAGAAAAAGGACCGGCUAACUACGUG